rnacentral:rRNA from 1 species
UUAUUGGAGAGUUUGAUCCUGGCUCAGGACGAACGCUGGCGGCGUGCCUAAUACAUGCAAGUCGAGCGAGUCUCUUCGGAGGCUAGCGG